CAGGCCAGCUCAACACGGCUGUAGCUGAAAAUCUAGGCAAUGCACUUUUUGUGUUGACACUAUGAUGACGCAUAUUACGAACUACAUUUUAAAAUAAGUGGAAUAUUUUUUUUUGCUUGUAUUUAGUGAUUAUUCAUAUUUAAACAUAUUUUAACGUAGCUUUAAUUAAGCACCAUAAUAUUAUCGAUUAGCUGAGUGCAGUGAACACGGCUGUUUCAUUUCAAUAUUAAAAUCUUAGCGGACGGAAUUAAGCUAACAAAAAAAUGGAAAUGAUUGAUAUAUCAAUAGAGGGUUCCACGACAACCUCUUAUCCGACUCCGUCAGAAGUUCCAGCCACAUAUAUCAACGUAGAUGAAAUAUUUUCCGAAGAAGAUAGCUUCCACGAACAAGUAUGAAUUUGUCAAUAU